rnacentral:tRNA from 5 species
CGGGGCGUAGCGCAGCCUGGUAGCGCAUCUGCUUUGGGAGCAGAGGGUCGGGGGUUCGAAUCCCUCCGCCCCGACCA